CAGCCUGGCGUGCGGGUCCUCAGUGCAGCUGACGGUUCUCUUCGGGGUAGUAUCCUGGUUUUCUACUACUUCCAUCAUCAUCCUUGUUGGAAAUGUCGUUGGUCUGGGAUUGCUUGCAUAACGACAUGCUGCGUAUCGUUCGAUUAAGA